rnacentral:rRNA from 1 species
GCCUAUGGUCCUGCCACCCUGAACAAGCCCGAUCCCGUCUGAUCUCAGAAGUUAAGCAAGGUCGGGCCUGGCUAGUACUUGGAUGGGAGAACACCUGAGAAGACCAAGUGCUGUAGGCG